CACGUAGGGCGCAAGCGUUGUCCGGAAUUAUUGGGCGUAAAGAGCUCGUAGGCGGUCUGUUGCGUCCGCUGUGAAAACUCGGGGCUUAACCCCGAGCCUGCAGUGGAUACGGGCAGACUAGAGGUAGGUAGGGGAGAAUGGAAUUCCCGGUGUAGCGGUGAAAAUGCGCAGAUAUCGGGAGGAACACCGGUGGCGAAGGCGGUUCUCUGGGAAUGUCCUGACGCUGAGGAGCGAAAGUGUGGGGAGCGAACAGGAUUAGAU
rnacentral:rRNA from 1 species